GCAAGUCGAACGGUAACAGGAAGCAGCUUGCUGCUUCGCUGACGAGUGGCGGACGGGUGAGUAAUGUCUGGGGAUCUGCCCGAUGGAGGGGGAUAACCACUGGAAACGGUGGCUAAUACCGCAUAACGUCGCAAGACCAAAGUGGGGGACCUUCGGGCCUCACACCAUCGGAUGAACCCAGAUGGGAUUAGCUAGUAGGUGGGGUAACGGCUCACCUAGGCGACGAUCCCUAGCUGGUCUGAGAGGAUGACCAGCCACACUGGAACUGAGACACGGUCCAGACUCCUACGGGAGGCAGCAGUGGGGAAUAUUGCACAAUGGGCGCAAGCCUGAUGCAGCCAUGCCGCGUGUAUGAAGAAGGCCUUCGGGUUGUAAAGUACUUUCAGCGGGGAGGAAGGGAUGGUGCUUAAUACGCGCCGUCAUUGACGUUACCCGCAGAAGAAGCACCCCGGCUAACUCCGUGCCAGCAGCCGCGGUAAUACGGAGGGUGCAAGCGUUAAUCGGAAUUACUGGGCGUAAAGCGCACGCAGGCGGUCUGUUAAGUCAGAUGUGAAAUCCCCGGGCUUAAACCUGGGAACUGCAUUUGAAACUGGCAGGCUUGAGUCUCGUAGAGGGGGGUAGAAUUCCAGGUGUAGCGGUGAAAUGCGUAGAGAUCUGGAGGAAUACCGGGUGGCGAAGGCGGCCCC
rnacentral:rRNA from 1 species